rnacentral:lncRNA from 1 species
GCAUAAUCGGAAAUCCAUUUAAAAGCAAGGAGGACCUCAAUAGAGAAAUAUAGUUUCAUCUUUCUUCUGGUCCAAAAGUAUAGCUCUAAUCAUUCAGUAAGAAGAUAAGAACUGAAUCGGGUAAAUCAGAGCAGAUUUUAACUAUACUAGACACAAAAUUGGCUGCAACAGUAUAUGAUAGUUGUUAUGUUACUGAAACGUGACAUUAUAACAUUUGUAAUUUGCUAAACUUGGUUCCUGUGUUUUAGCAGUGGAAGGGGUUAUAAAUAAAGGGUACCUCGCUAUUUGAAAAAACUUAUAUUGAAUGAACAGAAUAGCCAUCACUAGAUGGAAAGGGACACAUCUGCUAGACAACUAUGGCACUUUACUAGUUCAAACAUGACACCAAUAGUAAUUCUGCAGGUAUUUCUACUAUCCCUUUAAGCACCCGGCCACAGACAGCUUUUGUGAUAAACCACACUCCAAAUCCCUUCCUAUUCAUCUCUAUGAUUACCUCCACCACCACCAUGACUGCCAUGAGCACCAAUGAAGGCAAUAAAGGAGAAAGCAAUCUAUAAGAAUCUUAAGAAGUAUAAGUAAAAAGAAUGGAUGGAUUACAAAUUCAAAUAGACUAACAUGCCUAUUCCAUGACGUAGGCCAGAUAUGACCUGUGGUCCUCAAUACAAACCCCAAUCUGGGGUCUCUAAUAUAGUUACCAGGCAACAUUACCAACUAGGCCAAAUUGACACCUUUUCCACCCACCAUUAGUUUGGAAUCAUCUGACCACUAUUUCAUAAAUUUAGUAUCUAAUGCAUAUAGUCAGAGAAAUAAAUAACAAAACCUACAGCAAUGCCUCAAGUCGAAUGAUCACAGUCAUUUUUAUGAGUAAGUAGCUCUCAACUAAUUAAUUUUUCGUCAAAAUGGGGUUUACAUAUAAACCAAAGAUACUUUAAUAAGUUUCACACCAUUCGAAAACAAACAAUAUGCAUUUCAAAAUUAAACUAAUCACCAUAUAACAUUUGUCUAGAAAGCAAUUUUCCACAAUUUCAUAAAGAAUUGCACGGCAUUGAUUAAUAAGAAGAGUUCAGAUGGUGUAAUCACAAAUCUCCUAGACUCCUACAUUAACAUUAUCGCGCCGCCGAAAUUUUGAAACCAUUUACAACUAAAUACACGAAAUUAUCAAUUCCACGAGGAAAAAGGACAAAAAAAAACUUACCCUUGUAUCAUUAAUGUUUGUACGCUUGCAGUGAAUCUUGAAAUGGCCAAAUCUUGUAGCUUCAUUCCUGUUGAGUAGAAAUGUGAACUGGGAUGAGAGAAAAGAGCGCUUUGGAGCGGCGGAGAAACUGAAAGAGAGCUUGUGAGGGAGAAUGGGAGAGGAUAAAGUGAAGGCCAUGAACGGAAAGGAAGGUUGGUACUUGCUGAUAGAGCGGGGAUUUUGGCGGGUUUAAUCCACUGCUUGCGACUAAAAGCUUAUCUGGUAGUCUUCGAUUGGUUUUCGUAUGGUUUUGGUUCCAUAAUGACUAGAUUGCCCCUGCAGGUUUAUUUUUUGGAGAGUGGCGGUCCUGACGGAGACCGAGAGGCGGACGAAUUCAGAAAUCAGAAGCGAAUACGAGAUUUACGUCCCUAAAAUUUUAAAAAAUGAUGAUCAAUACGCUCAAAUUUUUUUAAAAAAAUUAAAUUUUUUUUUACUGUAAUAUAUUUUACCUCUAUUAUUUUAAAAAAUUAAUGCUAAUAUUUUAUAGUAAAUAGAAAUAUAACAUUAAGAUAAAUUCAAUAAUAUAUACAUUUUAAAAUAAUUUUAAUUUUUAAAAGUAUUUUAAUAUUUUAUAAUAUAUUAGAUAUAUUUAUUAUAUUAAAGUAAGUUUUACAAUAAAUAGAAUCAUAAUGUUAAAAUAAAUGUAUUAAAAUUUAAAUUAUUUUAAAUUUUAUGUAGAAUAAUAAUUUUAUCAUUGUUAGUAUGUGAGAUUUUUUAAUUAUAAAAUGUAUUUAACGUGAAUAUUUAUUUAAAAUCAUACAAUAAAUAACAACAUACUAUUAAAAUAAAUAUAAAAAUUUAUAUAUUUAAAUUUGUUAAAGUAUUAAAAUAUUUUAAAAUUGUUAGUUUACUGCAUAGAUUGCAUUAUUUAUAAAAUAUUUGUAUUUAAAAAAAAUUAAAGUCAAUUUUUUAGAAUAACAGAGGUAGAUGGUAUAAUGAUUAAAAGAGUUUCUUGUGUCCGUUUUUGAAAAUUUAGGGAUGUUAAUGACCAUUUCUUCAAAUUUUGGAGAUGUACAUAUCUUUUUUCCCAAUUAAGAAUAUUAAAAUUACUUUUAUUUUAAGAAAAAUGAUACUCCCUCAUCCCCCAAAAUUUAAUUGUUUGUAUGUAACGUAUCAUUCACCUGUGCAUUAUACAAAACUCAAGUAGUUGUUAAUUGAUUUUUUAUUUUAUUUUCACUUGCAACGAUAGCCCCAAUUAUUAAAUAAAAUCCCCCAAAUCAAAAUCUCUAUAGCUACAACAAAAAUUCCAAAUUUCCCAAUGAUUUACACCGUAAUUAUGAAUGAAAAAACAGUUUAAAAUCAAUCCUUUGCUAAAUUUACUUCGACAUCCACCCAUUCAUGCCAACCGGGCAAAUGGUUGGUGGUAAUCUACAACCUUUUGUAAUCAAAAGCAGUCUCAGCUUUUAUUUAAUUUUUUUUUCCCUCUCCUUUGGAUAUUAAAUUACAUUGUAUAAUUCAAAUUGAUUGACAAAUAUAUGAGAAAAAUUCUAUCAAGAUUUGAAGUAUAGUCUAAUAUACAUUUGAACCUACCUUGAUAUAUGUCAGAGUUGAAGUUUAACGAAAAAAAUCCCUGCUUAAAUUUUAAAAGAGUAUCAAAUUAUACUCCUACACAUAUGGAGAUAACUCAAACCUUCAAUCUCAAUAAUAAGACAAGUAUUUGUGACUCGACCAACAAGUAGAAAGUAUCCUCACCAGAAUUUCAAACCUACUCUCAUUUACUUCUAAAUUGUCUUCAACAACAAUUUUUUAUAAUAAUUUAGUUGUUUUAAGGAAAAGUUAAAAAAAAAAAAUAAUUUCGCGAAAUAGAAUAUCCUGAAUCAGUGUAGAAGUCUCCAAUCCAUUGCCAAAUUUUAAUGAUCUUCAGAACCAAAUACCAAUCACGAAUCGAAGUUUGAUUUCCAAACUGAAGUUUUCUUUUUUCUUUUUUCUUUUUUUCAAGGGAAGUGAUUUGCUUUAUAAUGAUCCGUACAGUAGUCUAAACAAGCAAAUUGCUUUAUGUUUUAUAUUUCUCACAAUAAAGAUACAUUGUAAUUCGUUAAUUAUCUGGUCGUUGUGUAAUGAUAAUGCAUGUAAGCUUCCUCUCAUAUUGCUAGGAAGCAUGUAUAAUCUUUUCACCUGCCCGUCACAGUUUUAUUCAUAUAAAUAAAUGGUUUUUCAUGGCAUCCAUUUUUCAUUUUGCUGUAAAUUGUGCCUUGUUUGACGAAGCUGGUGGCAUUAAAAUGUUAGUUGUUGACGGCAUACAAACUAUGAAACAGUCCUACGGGAAUAGAAAUGUUAAAUGAUAUUUAUUCUUUCAAAAUGCAACUGCGAAGGGGCAGAGUACUCCUCUUAAGACUUCAAUAUGUGCCACUGCAAUCUAGCCUUUGAUUCACAUGCUGAUAGAGGAAGAACAAGCAAUAUAUGCAAUUAAUGAAUAAGAAUAGUUAAGAUAAUGUAUUGUUUCAUGCAUUCAAUUUAUGCAAUUUGUACCUGCACAUUUAAGGUUGUUCUGUACAUUGGCACAAAAAUUGCCCUGAUAGAGGAAGAAUGUUAAUUUAUUGAGACUUUUCAUUUGUUUAAAUAAGAGCCACUGCAGUCAUCAGAAUGAAGCACAACCUGGAAGUGAUAUUUCAGUUAAUGGUGCUGCUGAAUACCCAUCUGCAACAGCCUGAAUCAAUUGACAGAGAAUUAGAUGAAUGAUAUAGAAUCGAUCAGUUGUCGAGGAGUGACAAACAAUAUUGCAUUAACACAAUAAGAAGAGUAGCAGCAAAAUUGUAGCGUCUGUUUGAUGAUUGGAGAUUCACAAGUUUUCAGUAGUAAUUAUGAAAUCAGAGCAGCGCAAGCACUACAUUAAAUCCUUGUUUCAACUCCAUAGAACCUAAGACUUCAAUUAUUUUUCAAUAAGAAUUGAAAUUUGUGGAUAUAGAAAGAUGUCAAAUUAAUGAACCUUUAAGCUCAAACUACUAGGGUUAUGCUUGCUGUCAACCUAAUCAUUUGUCACUUAAGUAAUUCUAUUCUUGUGUUCAUAUUUGAGAAAAAAAAAAUCUUUUCUUUUUUACUGUACUACCAUACUUUAAAAUAAUAUUAAUGUUUUAUAAAACCCCUCUUAAUGACAAAAAUAACCGUAACUAGAAUAACUUCUGAUAGAGCCCAUUAUUUCAAUUCCUUCUUAUUGUUCAAACCAAUAUUAAAUUCAGUUUCCUAUUUUUAAAAUCCACAAUUGAAAGAUUGUUCCUUGGGAUUGUGGAAUUUAUUCAAUCCUAGCUGGUGAGUCUGGUCUUCUCCCAUCGUUAAAUUCAAUUUAUGAUUUUCAAUUCCCAAUUAUUUUCAGCACAUAAGCAGAUCAUUCAAAAAUUUUGUUUGUCUAGUAUGCCAUUAGUCGUUCUUAGCAUUAAUUCCAUCGAUGACUGCACAUGGGCCAUAGCCUCUAUUCCAUAUUUGAUCUUGGCAAAGAAUGAUAAGGCUUUCGAUUCCUUCUUUUUUUCACAAAAUUAUGGUAGAACUAAAGCCUGGAGAUUCAUUAAUUAAAUGGUAGAACUAAACAAUAAAUUACAAAAUUAUGUGUGACUUAAACACAUAAAUUAUAGAAAAAGGCAACUGGACUUGAACAAGUUAUUCCAAGCAUUGCAUGCAGUGUAGGCUAUCAACAUACUUAAUUCUUUGCUUCAUUCUCAUGGAUACCUUUUCUUCACUGAAUAAUUCUUGGCUGACGUGACAAUGCACUUGGUUUGGACUCAAUCCCAAAAUAAAAUAUUUGCCUUUCCUUCGACAAAAUUAUGACAGAGAUUAGAGAAUUGCACACCAUCUAGAUCUGGCCUUUAAUGCGGGGGCUGUUUUUUGGGCGCGCCUGUGCCCGUGGCCUAUUUUUGGCACACGGAGGCCGCCCGCCAAGUCUGGUGCCAUUCCGAGUCCCGCGGACGAACUUCGCCCACGCCCCCCACCAAGGCUAUAGCCCACCCGUUUUUUGGCCAUUUUUCCGCUGAGUCUGGUAAUUACGCUGUUGAGCUGAUAGCGAAAAAGGAAUUCCAAUAGUGCCUAAUUUAUUUCUCGACAUAGAAGUUUUGCUAGCGAUGGAGGAUUUUUUCAAUAUAUUAUUAUAAUUACCAAAUAAUUUAUUUAAUAUAAUUUAAAAAAUUAAAUAAGAACUAUUUAAGUAACUAGUAUAUUUGAUUUAGUAAUUAUAUACUUUAUUAAGUUUUAGAUUUUAUUUUGGUUGGGGAUAUUUCCACCCUAUUAUUGUAGCAAAUCUACCCACUCCUAAAAAAUAGUUACAGUGAGUUCAUAAUAUUUUUUAAAAAUACAAAUCAAUAAAAGUGUUGUACAGUCAAUUAAUUAAAUCUUUCUAUUGAUUUUCUUCUUAAGUUUCUUUGACCAUAUUUGAUUAUAAAGCUUAAUGUAAAUUUCAUUUUACUAUUUUACUAUCUUGAUCUAAAACAACCAAGUUGCCACAAUAAACAUGACUCAUUGUAUCUAAUAAUUAAGGUAUUUAAUUUUGUGACUUAUAAUCUAAUAAUUUUAAAUGAAAUAUAAUUAUCAUUUUCACUAUCCUUACAUGUAAAUAAUAUAAAUUUGAAAGCCCAAUAGUUUACAUGAGUAUUGUGCAAUAAAGACUUAUGUUACUGUAAUUAAAGUUUAAUAAUCAUGCUAAAGUAGUAUUAAUUGGAAACAAGGAGGUUAGUAUAAAAUUAGAAAAUUAUUAAAGUUAAAGUAAAUUCUUAGUGGUUUUAUCUCAUAAGAAUAAAAUAGUAAAAAAGUUAUGCCAAAAUUUUUUUGUAAUUAAAUAUAAUUAAAAACCUAAGUCAUAAAAAAGUAAAUUUAAGAUAGAUUUAAUAAAUCAAUUCUCCAAAUUUCUUCUUUACUUAAAAAUUUGUUGAAAAUAAUAUGCACUUUUUGUAAUUAUGUUUGAAAAUGAGAUGAGUUUACAAAAACUAUGAUGGAGAUACCAUCAGUCUUUAAUUUUAGGAUUAAUUAAUCCGCCCCCCCCCCCCCCCCAAACCUUUCAAAAUUUUCUGUUGUGCUCCAAUUGUUUCAGCUUCUUCCACUGCGCACCCAAAAUUGUCGGUUUGGUUGUUAUCUUUGACAUUUUAAGUGUAAAAUGUGAAAAUUCAAUUAUAAAAACUAAUGAACCCAAUACAUUUCUUUUUUUUUUUUUUUCCUUUUCACGGUGGAAUUAACCUUUUAUUUUAAUACAAAUUUUUAUCAAAAGCUUUUACAUUACAGUUUAUGUAUUUACCAAAUACCUAUCAGCUUUAAUUUAAUAACUGUAACUUUUAUCUCAAUAAAAUUAUUUCAUACCUUUUAUUUCAAUACUUAGCAGAGCGUAUAUUUAGUAUUGUCCUAUCUUUUGUUUGGCAAGUAUAAGAUUGGACUAGAUUACAAAUGUUUUAGUAGUAGUAGUAGUAGUAGUAAUAAUAAUAAUAAUAAUAAUAAUAAAUAAAUAAAUAACCAUUAUUAAGAAUAUUUAACUAUUACAUUUUUCACUAUUGAAAAUAAUUAUAUUUUUUAUUAAGAAUUUCAAUGAUAUUAUUAUUUUAAUCAAUAAUUAUUAAAUUAAUUUAUUAAUAAGAAAUGGAAAUAUUUUUAUUGAGUAAAUUCAAAAAAGGUUUUUUUUUUUAAAUAUUUGAGUUAUCCUAAUUUAUAUCAUGGGGGACAAUGGGAUAAAUUUUUCUCUUAAUAAUACAUGGGUAUUCAUUGAUCACUUGAUGCUUUGCAUUUUAUCAAUAAACUAAAAAACAGAACCGCGCUUCACGCGGCUUUGAAAAAAGAAUUUAGUAUUUUUUUUUCUUACUUUACACUUGAUGAAACUGAUAAAAAAUAUGAAUUGAUUUUUUUUAAGAUGAGGCAGCCUUAUAAAAAACAAAAAAAGUUAUUAGCCAGCAAUAUAAAUAAAAAAGCAACACAAGAUAAAGAAUAAAAUGAGAGAAUAUAUUAUAGAGUGAUUUUAUUUAUUCCAAUUGUGUGUGUACAAAACAAAAAGAUGAGCUCUCCUUUUAUAGUUAUAUAAUCACUCCAUGAAAUUAAUGAAAAAUUAUGGAUCAUAAUUCCUUGUGAGAUAGUGGGAGUUAUAGGGAAACUAAAAGUUGCUAAUGAGAGAUAGUGGGGAGACUAAGAAGUAUAUGUUAUGAACAUCUACAUUUAUUUUAAUAAAUUUAUAACACUCUCCCUUAAAUGUUCAUUACAAAGAAUAUGCCUCAUUAAAACCUUUACAUAAUUGUUAUUAUGUAAUAACAAUCAAAAUUAAUUAUGAGAAGAUGAAAAGUUGAAUCUAAAAGAAAAUUUCUCUAUUUAUUAGAUAAUAGAGAAUAUACAAAGAUGAGAAAUGGUGAUGCCACAUCACCUUUUCAAGUCCCAACUAUAUAUAUAUAUAUAUAUAUAUAUAUAUAUAUAGAUAUAGAUACACAAAAACAUUUUUUCUUUUACAGCUAUCCAUCAGAAUUUUAUAAAGUGUAUUACUUUUUUACUUCAUUAACGCCAUUAGAGAUUUAGCAAAAUAUUAACAAAAUGACUAUUUUCCUACUACUCAUAAAACGACUAUUUAAUUCUAGCUAAAUAACAAAAAACAGAUUUUAUUUUGUAGUUGUUAGACCAAUAAUACUACAAAUUAAUUAAAUUAGUUAUAUAAACUCAUGAAACCGAUUAAUUUAAAUAUAUAAGAUCACCUAAACAAGUACCUUAAUUAAUCUGUAGCUCAUUUACAACAUAAAUUAAGAACAAUUUCUCAUAUAAUCCAUCCUAAGUAACAUAUUUUCGAUAAUAAUAACAAAUCUUAACCAAUAAUAAAUCAGCAAAAGAAACAAUUAUAAAUAUUCAAAAUAUGUACAUUGAAAAUAACCAAAAAAAUAAUUAUGGGAAACUUUGAACAUUACAAUGUGUUCCUAUCAACAAAAAAUUACAACAUAAAAUAAGUUAUGGGGAACUUAGAGUUUGCAUUUUGUUCCCAUCAUUCCAAAAUAACAAUACAUUACAAAAGCAUCCAAAAUCACAACCAAUAAAUAAUCUUUUUACAUUUAAUGGAAAAAUGAUCAUUUUAGAAUUUUUCUGUAAAAUUCUCUAACUAUGUUAAAAGAAAAUUGAAAGUGUGACACACAUUGUAAACUUAAAGUGGAAAGUUGGAAAAUAAAAAAAAAUUAGGGUAUUUUUGAUAAUAUUUGAAACACUAAGUUGUACAUGGAUGUUUCCCCGAAAGAUAUUAAACGGAGAAUCCUUCAAAAUGCAUGACUAGAUAUAAUAUAAUCCAAUUAAAUGUUCUUAUCAUGUAACCAAACGAGCUGUAAAUAUAAGAACACGCAAAUUGAUUCAUAUUAGAGUAAUUAUUUAUCCUUUAAAAAACGUGAAGUUCUUUGUUUUGAUUUAAAGAAUGUCUAAAACAAUGUGAAUGUGUUAGGAAUUACUUACCAUUUAGAAGUUUUCACAACAAUUAGAACAACAAUCUCUGCACAAAUCUAUCUAUAUAAUACAGGGAAAUGGAGUCAGGGACAAUCAUUGACAUCAUAAAACUUGUAGGACCUUGUAAGUACCGGAACUAUCACAGAAAACUUAAGAUAAUUUUGGGUACGCUUGAAAGCAAGAAAGUAGAUCUGAAUUCCCUCAAGGAAGAUGUGGAGUCAAGAUUGAGUGCAGAGUGUCAUUUUGGAAAAACACCAAAGAAAGAAGUUGAAAAUUGGUUAAAAAAAGCAGAGAAAAUGAGUAGUGAGGUACAAAGUCUAGAAGAUAAAUCCAAUAAAUACAGAUAUGUAUCUCGUAGGAAACUUAUUGACGAGAAGAUCAAGGAACUAAUUGAUGUUUAUGAUCAAGGUAGUUUUCCUACUAGUUUGGUAAUUGAUCCGCCUUCAAAUGUUGGGUCAAAUGUUGGGCAGCUGAUACCAACGCAAGAACUGGUCGGUGAAGCUAAUGUCAAAGAAAAAGUUUGGGGACACUUGAUGGGUGGCACAAUAUGCAAGAUUGGAAUUUGUGGGAUGGGCGGGAUAGGAAAGACAACGAUCGUGAAGCAUGUCCACAACGAGCUCUUGAAGGAAACCAAGUUUGAUACAGUACUUUGGGUGACUGUAUCCUAAGAAUUUGAUGUCGAGAAAAUAGAAGGAGACAUUGCAUCUGCUUUGAAAGAAAGUCUAUUAGCCAGGGAUAAAACCAUGCGGGCGGCACAUUUGUCAAUGGUGUUGGAAGAGAGAAAGAGAUAUGUGUUGGUUUUGGAUGAUGUGUGUGUUGAAAAGUCUAAGUCAAAUUCAUGUGGUGGCAACACUCUUUGCACACGGUUUGGACGCGUUUUGAACAUGAUUUUUUUCUUGAUAUUUGUUUCAUGAAUAGUGCCAACAUUUUUUCUAUAAAUAGCUAAGCAUUCUUCAUUUGUUUAGCAUCCAAAAAUUGUUAAGCUUAUAAGUUUCUAAACUUUUGAGAGAAGUAAGAGAAGUGUGUCUAAGAAAUUUAUCUUUCCUGUAGAGUGUGAGAGUACUGUGUAUAUUUGGGUUUCUGAAAGUGAGAUUUGUUACUCAAAUAUUUGUACUCUAUUAAUUGUUAAAUAAACAAUUAUUCCCUUUUACCUCCAUGGAUGUAGGUUUAAUUACCGAACCACGUAAUUCUUGUGUCCUUUAUUUUUUAGUAAUUUUUUAGCGCGCUUGAUUUCGCAUUCCGCGCACAACAGUAUGGAAGAUAUUUUCCCUUGAUGAGGUUGGAAUCCCUGAGCCAACUUUAGACAAUGGGUUACAGUUGUGUAUGUCUCUCCCCACUGUUGUUUAUCUGCAAAUUAGAAGAAAAGUAUAAUCAGUUCAAGCACCAAAUGGUCUCUAGCUGGCUUACAGCUGCUACCCAAGAUAAAAAAGAAAACAACACAUUAGAGGAUUAAUAAUUUAUCCAAAAAUGGAAAAUUGCCCUUCGUCGAAAGAUAUCCCCCCUAGGCCAGCCUACAAAACAAGUACGUGUCAAAAUAUAUUAGUCUAGAUAAAUCAAAAGCUAAGUAGAGACCAUAAGGAAAAAGGAAUAAGGUCAUGUUGAACAAAAGUCUGUUAUGUCUUGGUUCUAAUGAUGUGAUGUAAUUUGCUCACACUUCUUUUGUCAUAGAGGUAGAAGAAAAACUGAUAAGGGGCAGAGUAUUCUGAGUCUUCACUAUAUGCCAUUGCAACAGCUCCAUAUACUGAUAAAGGAAGAAUCGACAAUUCUCCAUCCUUUCCAGUUAAAAUUAAAGAAUAAGAAUAGAUAAGGGAAGAUAAUGUAUCGUGAGAUAAAGUUUUUUGUUUUAUUUUGUUUUUUGUUUUUUUUCCUAUGAAACGAGGAAGAUAGUGUAUUUCUAACUGCAUCAAAACGUGCAAUUUAUACCUGCACAUUUAAGGCUGUUCUGUACAAUGGCUCAAAUUGCCCUGAUGGCAUUAUUUCCAAAGGCAAAUUGUAGCCACUGUUCUUAUCAAGACCUUUUUCUGUCAGAACAGCUUGGUAACAGCUUGGUUUCCACAAUUUAGCCUUGUCCCAUCAUAUGCUCCAUCAAUCACCUGAAAGUUUUUUGAAUGGUUUCAUUUGUUUUAUCAAGAGAGUACACAUACUCCUGUAAUUCUAAACACAUAAAUUAUAUAAAAAAAAGUAUGUGGACUGUUUGUUUUGAACAUUCCAUGCAGUGUACUAGUGUAGGGUAUCCAUAUAAUUAGUUCUUUGCUUCAUUCUUAGUCGACAUGUCAAGGAAGCUCAUGUGAGCCAAAUAGUCAGCAAAGCAGAGGAUUAUAGCAGCAGCAGCUCACAGCUACAAGUUGAUGACUUGGCAUGCCAGCUAGCACCUGGUGGUUAUUUAGUCUCUUGUACUCGUGACUGUUAGUUACAGUUAGUUAAUAAGCUGCUGCAUGAUUAGCAUGUGUGAUUAGUUAAGCUAAGUUUGUUGAUUAGUUACACGAGUAUAUAAAGUAAAGUAUGUACAUUUCCUCUGUAAUCUUGUUGAAAAGAAAUAAAAAUAAUUCGCAGAUUCCUAUCAUUUUCUCUCAAUAUUUCUUAGUUUCCAAACAAGAUGAUUUCUUACUCGACAUGACGAUACACUUGGUUUGGAUUCAAUACCAAAAUGCAAGAUUAGCCUUUUCUUCAACAAAAUCUAUGAAGAGAUUAGAGAAUUUGCUUUCUGAUAUUACAAUUCUCUGUAGUUCUCAUCUUUGGUUUCUCACUUCAUCCAAGAAAGGUCAAAAAGGAAUUAGCUAGCCCAGUUACUCCAGCAAAUUGAAGUAAUUUUGGUGGAAUAUUUAGUAUCUGCUCUCUCUCUGCUCAUUGUUUUAAUUAAUUUAUUAACAACAUUAUAUGUGUAAUCUCUUUGUCAGAAUCAUUGAUCAAAAAGCCUAAGACAUGGAGGCCAUUUGGAUUAAUUCUCUUUAAAGUAGAACUAGAAAUCAGCCCAGGUACCUUAUACAUUAUUAUUAUUAUUAUUAUUAUUAUUAUUUUUCAUGUUAGUUUUUAGACUGAACGCAAGUACACAUGUACACUAGUAUAUAUAUAUAUAUAUAUAUGGAGCCCCCUACGUUACGUUAAUCGUAAGUACAUCCACACACAGCAACAGUACCCAUGGUGGGACCCACUAUUAUUGCUGUGUGUGGUGUACGUUACGUUAAAUGUAACGUAGCAUUGGCCUAUAUAUAUAUAUAUGACAUUCUGUCUUGUACACAAUUUAGGUAGCGUUUACAUUUUAUAUUAGAGUGAGAAACUUAGAUUGGGAGUAUGAAGUGAGAGUAAGAGUAUGUUGUUUACUUACACUAGAAUAAGGGUAUGGAAUCAAAAUCACAAUUCAAUUUAUGUGUUUACUUUAUCUUGAAUUUAGAGUAAAUGGAUUCAAAUUAUAAUCUUACCAUUAUUUAAAGAAUUAUAAUUUUUAAUUACAAUAUCAAUAAAAAAAUAUAUUCAAAAAUAAAAUAUUCAUUUUAUUAUAUUUGUAAAUUAAUAAUUAUUUUUAAUAUUCUUAAUAGUGUAAAUUAAUAUUUUUUUAUUCAUUUUAAUUUUAAUUAUGUAAAUUAAAAAUAAUUAAUAAAAGCAACACAAAUUAAACAUUAUUAUUAAUAAUAUAGUACAACAUUUUUCUUGGAAUAAACUUUUAUUGCUAUUAAUUAUUAAUAUUAAAUAAAUAUAAUAAUAUUAUUUUUAAAUAAAUAUAGUAAUAUUAUUUUUCAAAUAAAAAUAGUAUAUAGUUAUAUUAUUAAUUCUUUAUUAAUAUAAUAAUAUUAUUUUUUAAGAAAUUUUAAUUGAGGACCAAUUUAAAUUAUUGUUUUUAACUAAUAAUAAUAGUAUAUUUAAAUAAGGUUAUUAUUAUUUUUAAUAAAUGUAAUGUACAAAAUAAUAUUAUUGAAAUAAAUAUGAUAUUAUUUAUUUUAUUUAUUAAAUAUAAUUAUAUUAAAUUUAAUAAAAUAAGGGAAAAGAAGAGGUGGGGUGGAUUCACACUCCCACCUCCCCCCAUUCCCACUCCCUACUUAAAAAAUGGGUGGGGUUGAUGGAAUGAGAUUCUCAUUCCUCCUUAAAAUAAAUGAGUAAAUAAUGGAGUAGGAGGAAUACACACUCCUCACUCCCAAGUAAGUAAAUAUAGUAUUAGUUCAGCCAACCUUCUUUAUAAGUUUUAUAAUUCCUGUUGCACAUAAAAGUAAUAGCAAGAAAAAUUGGUUUAUAUUAGAAUAAUUUUUUUCCGGAAAGAAAUGAGAAAAGUUGUUUUUAUUAUUAAAAGAGAUAUUCACUUCAAUUAAAACAUUUAUCUCAUGCUCAGAUCUAACUAUAUAAUAUAGUUAAAUGGAGCCAGGGAUAGUCAUCGAAAUAAUAAACUUUGUAGAGGGUCCAAUUUGAAAUACUGAAACUAUCACAGAAAACUUAGGAUACUGUUGGAAAUUCUUAAAAGCCAUAAGGAAAACCUAAAUUGUCGUAUGAAGAUGUCAAGUUAAAAUUGAGUGCAGAGUGUAAUUCUGGAAAAACACCAAAGAAAAAUGUUGAAAAAUGGUUCGAUUAGAUGGUCCCAGUAAAUGCAGAUAUGUAUCUGUGCUUGUCGGGGGAAACUUAUUGACAAGAAGAUCAAGGAACUAAUUGAAAUUUAUGAUCAAGAUAAUUUUGCUACUAGUUUGGCAAUUGAUCCUUCUUCAAAUGUCGGGUCAAAUGUUGGGCAGCUGAUACUAACGCAAGAACUAGUAGAUGAAGCUACCAUCAAAGAAAAAGUUUCGGGACACUGGACAUGUAAUAAAUGAUUUAGUUGGAUUUUAGGUCAACCCAAUUAAAACAAUAAAAUAAUAAAAAGGGGGACAAAUGUUAGAGGCUGCCUUGUUAUGUUUCAACUUUGAAGUGUUCAGCUGCAAGAUGGAGGAUGUUAGCUGGGUGAGGUGAGUGUUUGAUAAAUAGGGGAAGGAGAUGAGAUGAAAAUGAAGAUGAAGUUCAUUUAACUCAAGCUGAAUGAGUAGCCAAAAUUGAUGUUAGAGGUGGAGCUAGCGGUGGUCAGCGAUUCUACUCUGACACUCAAGUUAGAUUUUAAGUGAUAAGUGGCGGCUUCAAGGUCAAAUUGACUUUGAAGUUAUCAAUAACGUAAAUAUACUCUGAAAAAAAAUAUCAAUGAGAAAUUUUUUUGAGUGAGUGGAAGUUAGUUAUAGUUAGGAAUUAGGAGCAAUCCUUGAGCUUAUGUGAUGUGUGCCUCAGGCGUUUUUUUUUUUAUAGUAAUUUUAGACACAUGGUGCUUAGUUAAUGGUUUGGGGGGGGUGUAAAGAAACCAUUAGCCACCCUUUUACUUCUAAUAUUGUGCACGUGGCAACCUCUCUAGUUGAUGGUCCUGCUGCUUUUUGGGGCACUACAUAAGGAAGCUGACAUGGCAUUUUCCCAUUGCUCAACAAAGGAAUCUCCUUUGCCAUUGGCAUUUUUUGAUUUCUCUCAUAAUGGCGUGCAUUAUUCAUGUUCGGCCUCUAACCAUAAAAAAUUUGGGUUUUAAGAAUGCAUGUUUUAACGAAACUACCCUUUAUAUCAGGGAGCUUAUCUCCGAAUCCCUAUGAGCUACCCUAAUGAUGCGGUCAAACGAAACAAUUUUACUUGGUUGACUCCUCUUGACACAUGUCAUUGUGUUAUUAGUCCAUGUUUCCACCUAUAUUUCCUCCCAAACAAUAGAGUAUUUAUCGUUGUAAUAAAAAGGAUGCCUGUCUUGCUUCCCCAUCUUCUGAACGGCCAACCAUUAAAUCCUAGCUCCUUUACGAUCAAAGCUGACUGGGAAUGCUGGACUGCACUGGAGUGGGAUGAUCCCAACACUAAGAGCCUCCUUACGCCCUUCUAUAAAGAAAAGCUAUAUUUCCUUAUUGGAUGAGUUCUGAGCAACUCCGAUAAGUUCUUCCAUACUUCAUUUGUUUAAGAAUUUCUUUGUUUAUUUUUUUAAUUUCUACAUUUUUUAUGUUAAAAAACAAAAAAAUAAAAAAAGUACAGCUUCUUGCACUCUUGUUCUUAUGAUUAACGAAAUGUCACCAUGCCAAAGCAAUUUGCAAAAGUGAGUUCAUGGAAGGAACAACAAUGCAGAAGCAAAUGAAACGAAUCGAGGUUUUGAUUUCUAAAGUGAAGUUUGCAUGUGAUUUGCUUUAUGUUAAAAAGUCAAAGAAUGGCUUACAAAUUUCAAAAGACAAAGUUGGUGGGCUUGCCAAUUUCAAAAGGCAAGGUUAGCGGCACGGUUUUGUUAAAGUUGCAUAGAGGAAAAAUGUGAUGGUUUUUAGAAGCCAAUUGAUUUUUUCAAAAUUGUUGAUUUUGUUGCCCACCAAAUUGAUUUUUCAUUCUAAAUUCAAUUUGUCAAUUUGGCAAGUUGUAGCCAAAUUGAAAGUGGUAGGUGAGCUACGGUUCGUAUAAAUAGAAGGGACAUUGUUCAUUUGUAAUCAUCCUAAAUUGUUAAUCUUAUAAGUUUCUAAGCUUUUGAGAGAAGUGAGAGAAGUGUCUGGGAAAUUUAUCUUUCCAGCAAAGUGUGAGAGUAUUGGGUAUAUUUGGGUUUCUGGAAAAUGAGAUUCUUUACUCCAAUAUUUGUACUUUAUUAAUUGUUAAAUAAGCAAUUAUUCUUUCUUGCCUCCAUGGAUAUAGGUUUAAUUAUCGAACCACGUUAAAUUUUUGUGUCCUUUAUUUUUCUAUAAUUAUUUGGUGUGCUUGAUUCCGCAUUCCGCGCACAACACUUUAUAAUAAUUUGUAUAGUACACUAACAAGAUAAUUGCUUUCUGUUUCUUAUUUCUCACGAUAAAGUGCAUAGUAAUUCGUUAAUUAUCUAGUUAUUGUGUAAUAAUAAUACAUGUAAGCUUCCUUUAUACAUUACAAGGAAACAUGUAUAAUCUUUUCAACUACUGGUCACACUCUCUUACUCGCAUAAAUAAAUGGUUUUUAUGGCAUCCAUUUUUUAUUUUGCUGUAAAUUGUGCCUUAUUUGGCAAAACUGGUGGCUUUAAAAUGUUAGUUCUUGACGGCAUACAAACCAUGAAACAGGCCUACGGCAAUGGAAAUGUUAAUUGAUUUUUAUUCUUUCAAUAUGUAACUGAGAAGGGGUAGAGUACUCCUCCGAGUGUUCACCACUUCACCUGUGUGUCACAGCAACAGAUCCACGUACUGAUAGAGGAGGAACCAACAAUAUAUCCAAUUAAUGAAUCAGAAUAGUUAAGACGAUGUGUUGUUUACUGCAUUUAUGCAAUAUGCACCUGCUCCUUUAAGGCUAUUCUAUUCUGUACAUUGGCUCAAAAAUUGGCUUGAUGGAGGAAGAAUGGCUCAAAAAUUGACUGUUGAGACUUUUCAUUUGUUUAAAUAAAAGCCACUGCAAUCUUCUGUAUGAAGCACUGCUUGAAACUAAAAGUGAUAUUCAGUUAAUGGUGCUGCUGAACAUUCAUCUGGAUGAAUCAAUGGACUGAGAAUUGAAUGAAUAGAAUCAAUUAGCAGUCAAGUAGUAACAAACAAUAUUACCGUAACACAAUGAGAAGAGUAGUAAUUGUGAUGCGAGAUUCUGGUUACACUCUGCCUACGACCAGGAAAUCUGCUCCACCAACCUCACCUCGAUCAGGAUCUCUCCUCGUACGCUUUCUUCUCUAGGUGUUCCUGCGUCCACAGAAACAAGUCAGAGCACGCCGGUUGUUUUUCCGGCGUAAACCCUCCGACGCUCAAGUCAGAUAUGAAGGUCCCGGGAACGCUUGCCACGAAUCUUAUGGCUUUUCUGUAAUCUCCUUUCUUUAGAGUUUUCUUUUCUUAGUUCUAAAUAGCAAAAAUUCUAACCCUUUUACCUUCGUUGGCUACCUUUUUAUAGGCUUCCUCUGAAUCCCGGUCUUCCGUAGUCCACGCCCAUUAUUCUGCCCACCCUCGGAUGUGGAUGCCCCAACGUCGUCAUUGUGGGCGAAUGGAGAUGGACUUCAUGCCUUGAUUCUCGGAUAGGAACGCACGUCCUGCUAACUGUCGUUGACUGGGUCUCCUCGCCUCGACCCCUAGCAGGAAUGGCCUUAUGCCUUUAACAGGAGUUCGUCCUCGUGGAUGGCAUAUUCGUGGACGAGCAGAAUAGCCCUGCUCCUAUUCCCCUGCUACCAGGCUCUUACAGGACACACCUGCUCGCAGGACUCUGCCACCAACUAUCUGCUCGUCACUUCUGGUCUCGCCGAAGUAUUUCCCUCAAACACCGGUCCCCCAGUUUCUGGUGUUGGGUAAUGUAAUGGACCAGCAGUAGAAACUCAACGGUUUUUGCUCGCGUGGGAUUGGAAAAGGCUGCCAAGAGUCGUGUCGUAUUUAAUUGCGGAUGCGGUGAUGUGGCAGAAAUCUACCCCUCCAUUUGAAUUUCAAACCUACGGUUGCAAGAUUCUCGGAAUAUGCGUCAUUAAAUGCUGGCAGCCCAAGAGUUUGCUUCUCAGUAAGAAAACCCAAAAUCUUCAAACACGAACUCGUCAUUUUCUCCAUUCUUGUCUCUCCGGCGAAUGAACCUCGGCAUUAAAGCUGUCAUCCCUGUCUCUCUCUGACCGAGUCCCUGCUUCAGGUAUUUCUUCUAUUUUCUCGGUCUUGGUUGGUUGUAGAUAAUUUCUUUUCUCUUUGCUUUGCUUGGGGUAGUAGUUGGCGGUGGCGUUUUGGUUAUUAUUUAGGGAAUGUCGAAGGGUAAGGAGAAAGUCAUCGAGAUUGAUGACAACGAAAUAGGUUUCUUGCCUAAUCUGCUCACUGAUCCUGCUUUUGACCCCGGGAUCCCCUUAGAACCCAUUAGGUCUAGUGUCGGGACUAGUGCUAGGAGAUUGUCCCCCCAAACAACCUCCACGAGUGGAAGUAAUGAUGAGGAGAGAUCUUCUGGCUCUAAAGGCACCUUGAGUGAGAAUGGGGAAAGUGAUUCUGAUGAGGUGUCUCCAUCUGGAACAUCACGACCAGAAGAACGGGGUACAGUAGGGGGUAGAGCCUUGUCGCGUGAUUAUGCCAUUGAUUACAUGUCGUGCACGACCACGUUUGACGAGCUCAAUGACCUCCGACUUAGGUAUAGUAUUCCUGGUGAGAUACCUCUUAAGAUCCCAGGAAAGAAGGAUACACCUAGCCGGCCUCCUAGGGGGUACGUUACCCUGUUUCUGGAGAGUUUUAAGUAUGGGCUGAGGUGUCCCUUGCAGCUUUACUUUGCCCGGAUACUUAACGGGCUAAAUCUGGCUCCUGGUCAGCUGAACCCCAAUGGGUGGAGAGUGCUCUCUGGUCUGUUCAUAUUGUGGGACAGAUGUUGCCAAAGCGAGCCCACGGUUGAUGAGGUGAUGCACCUGUACCAGCUGAAGAGCAGCCCUAAAGAUGCCGGCUGGUACUACUUCCAAUCUAGUACCAAGAGCAGGAAACCCAUAACUGAUCUUCCAACUGGUGGUGGUGGGACUUGGAAGAGGAAAUUCUUUUUUGCUGGGGGUCCUUGGGGUCAAGUUGCACAAAUAGACGGGAAGGAUUGUCGCGUCCCACCCCGUUUCACGGUCCCAGGUUGCAUGCUCGCUUUAGAUGUCUUGUAUCCAUAAUUGUUCUUGCUGUAUUGGUUUGUCUCUAACCAAGUGUCUGUUUGUACUGUAGUUUCUUGUGGUGUUCAUUUCUCGCUCAAGCCUGGUCAGCUCAAACGGGUCAAGGCUGUACUAGCCAACUCCUGCCCGAGCCGAGAACUGAUAACUAUUUACAACUUGCUCGAGUCUCGCUUGGUACUACCUGAUCAUAAGAUGGAGGAUGCUGUGAUUGGGGCUCUGAACAGGAAACGUUCUCGACCUCAAACCACGAAGAGGGACCAGAAUAAGGACGCCCCUACUGCAAAGCGGGCCAACAUCGUGCAGCAGGUUUCUCCCUUGAAGACUUUACCUCCUGCUCCUGCCAAAGUCGGGGAAACUAGUGGAGCGGCCACUGAUCCUGCUUCCUCUUCUCCUCCUGUCGGGCCUCGGUCUCGCUUACCUGACAGCCGAGCAGAACACAUGGUCCCCUAUCUCAAUGAGUUAUCUAAACUCGUGAGCAAGAAGGAUCUGGAGGACUUUGAUGGCUGCACCAUGGGCGAGCUGGUGGGGGCCAUGCAGUAUAGCGCCUUCCACCUCAGCUGCAUGACCACCUACUAUAAGGCCAAGGUUGGCCGUUACGACCGGAGGAUGAAAGAGGACAUUCAAUCGGCGACGACCAGAGCCGAUGCUGCCGAGAAGAAAGCGGGAGACUUGAAUCUCGAGAAUCUAAAGUUGAUAGAGCAGGAAUCUCUUGCUCAAGCAAAGGCCAUUACUCUCGAGGAAGAGCUGACUAAGGUCAAGGAGGAUCUGCAAAGGCAGAAAGCUAUGUACGAGGCUCAGCUCGAAUCCCUCCGCGAUUCCCAUCGGGUUCAGGUCGAGAACUUGGAGAAGGAGGCUGACAACCAGUACGACCAGGGACUUCGGCAUUCCUAUCGCUGCAUCAUGGCCGUCCUCGGGAAGCAGCAUCCUGAUCUAAAGAUGGACGACCUUGCAGCUGGUGUCGCCCAACAUAUGGACGAGGAGGCUGCAAAGGAGGAUGCCGAAGAGGCGGCGCCAAUGGUGAUAGAGGAGGAAAACUCUCCUCUCCGUGUAAUCCCUGCUGAUGCUGGUGAGGCGAGUACCCCCCCAGACGCAACUGGAGAUACUCCCCCAGCACCUGAGGUGGACCAGCUGACUGAGGCUGCUCGGCUUGCGGACCCACCGUCUUCUUAAACAUGUUUCUUGUAUUGUAACGAACAAUGUUUGUGAAGAUUAUCUGCUUUGUUAAUUAUUAACAAAUUAAUAGAAAUGUUUUUUAUUACUCUCUUGUGUUGUAAUUACGAGUUAUUUUUCCGCUUGAGAGUCUGCUCGUCUUCGUCUGGUCGAGCUGGCUCUAGCUUGGUAGAUGGUUUUGCCACAUGCCUUGGAAGAUUCUUCAAUGUUUGGGAUUCUGCUCGCCUUUGCGCGGUCGAGCAGAUCCUGGCACACUUGGCUUCUGUCUCGCCAUAAAACAGGCUUUGAGACUUGAUGAGCCAUUGCAUGCCUUAGAAGAUAUUUCGAUGAUUGGGGAUUCUGCUCGCCUUCGUGUGGUCGAGCAGAUCCUGGCACACUUGGCUUCUGUCUCGCCAUAAAACAGGUUUUGAGACUUGAUGAGCCUUUGCAUGCCUUAGAGGAUAUUUCGAUGAUUGGGGAUUCUGCUCGCCUUCGCGCGGUCGAGCAGAUCCUGGCAUGCUUGGCUUCUGUCUCGCCAUAAACAGGCUUUGAGACUUGGUGAGCCUUUGCAUGCCUUAGAGGAUAUUUCGAUGAUUGGGGAUUCUGCUCGCCUUCAUGCGAUCGAGCAGAUCCUGGCAUGCUUGGCUUCUGUCUCACCAUAAAACAGGUUUUGAGACUUUGUCGAGCCUUUGCAUGCCUUAGUGACUUCUUUGAUGCUUGGGGAUUCUGCUCGCCUUCACGCGGCCGAGCAGAUCCUGGCAUGCUUGGCUUCUGUCUCGCCAUAAACAGGCUUUGAGACUUGGUGAGCCUUUGCAUGCCUUAGAGGAUAUUUCGAUGAUUGGGGAUUCUGCUCGCCUUCAUGCGGUCGAGCAGAUCCUGGCAUGCUUGGCUUCUGUCUCGCCAUAAAACAGGCUUUGAGACUUUGUCGAGCCUUUGCAUGCCUUAGUGACUUCUUCGAUGCUUGGGGAUUCUGCUCGCCUUCACGCGGCCGAGCAGAUCCUGGCAUGCUUGGCUUUUGUCUCGCCAUAAAACAGGCUUUGAGACUUUGUCGAGCCUUUACAUGCCUUAGGUAAUUUCUUCAAAGCUUGGGAUUCUGCUAGCCUUCUCGCGGCCGAGCAGAUCCUGGCAUGCUUGGCUUCUGUCUCGCCAUAAAACAGGCUUUGAGACUUUGUCGAGCCUUUGCAUGCCUUAGUGACUUCUUCGAUGCUUGGGGAUUCAGCUCGCCUUCACGUGGUCGAGCAGAUCCUGGCAUGCUUGGCUUCUGUCUCGCCAUAAAACAGGCUUUGAGACGUUGUCGAGCCUUUGCAUGCCUUAGAAGAUUUAUCACAGUUUCAAGUGACUGACAUUCCUCGACGUUCCAUUAAUUGCAGGUUUUGAUUUUACAUGAACUUGCUUUGGACAUAAAAUAAAUAACCGCAAAUACGAACAGAAAGAACUUGAAAAUAUUAACAACUCUUACUGGAAAUAUUUCCUGAGAUCUACUGCGUUCCAUGGGCGCUUCACCUCGUGGCCAUCCAUGCGGACCAACCUGUAGGCUCCUGGUCCAACUAGCUGCCUGACUCUAUAUGGCCCCCCCCAAUUUGGACCGAGCAUUCCUUGAGUCGAGUCUUUUGUGUUCUGAUUUACUCUCCUUAACACCCAAUCUCCAACCUUGAACUGCCAUACAUUCACGUCCUAGUUAUAAUACCGAGCAACCCUCUGCCGGUAAAUGGCUGAUCGCUUGGCUGCUUGAUCCCUCUUUUCCGUUAGUAGAUCAAGAUUCAAUACCGAGCAUAUCUGCAUGAGCCUGUAAGCAUUUCACUAACUCCUGGUUCUGCUCUUCCUUAUGUUUCGACCCGAUUCUGAUCGUCGUUCCCGGAUUCUCUAGUCCCACGCUUACUGUCUCCAGCUCCUCUACAGGUUCUUGUCUGCCCUUCUUGCUUUCCACUUGGGUGUUAAGGGAUGUUAUCUGCAUUGCCUCCUUUGCUGCCGAGGAGUAGCAGCUUCUGGCGAUUCUCUGGUCCCCUCGUACCACACCAACUACCCCGUUCACCCGGUACUUGAGAGCCAGAUAAUGGAUGGACAAUACCGCUUUGCUCAUCCUUAGAAACGGCCGACCUAGGAUCAUCUGGUAAGGACCUUCUUCAUCCACCACCACAAAGUCCAGUAUCAUUGUCCUUUCCGUCGGGGAGCUCCCAAUCGUGAUAGGCAGCUCGACCACGCGAAGAGGGACCAGCUUUCCCCCUCCGAACCCCUUUAAGGAGGUAUUGGUGUAUUCCAACUUCCGGUCUGCUAUUCCCAUCUCCUCCAAAGUUGACUUAAAUAGCACAUCAAUUGAGCUCCAUGUAUCAAUCAAUAUCCGGUCAAACUUCUUACUAGAGACCGUAGCCUUGAUGACCAAAGCAUCCUCGUGGGGGUAUAGAAUCCAUUUCUCGUCUUCAUCCGUCCACAUGAUUGGCACUUGCCUGACCCUUGCUCGUUUGGCUGCUGGGGUGUUGAAGAAUACCUCUUUGCUGGUCAUGGCGUAUCUAGCAUAAUUCUUCCUCGACCUGUUGGAAUCUCCGGCCAAUGUCGGGCCCCCAGCUAUCACCCUUACUGCAGGCUGCUCGCGCUUCAAGCUCCUGUCACUCUGCUCCCCUUCACUUGUUGAGGCUACCAUUGGGAAGGUCCCAUCUAUAAACUCGUUCAGAUAGCGAUUUCUCACCAAAUCUUCAACCUGGGUCUUGAGAUCUUUGCAGUCUGUUGUGGUGUGGCCAUGAGUGCCAUGGAACUUACAAUAGCGUCUCAUAUCUCUCUUGCCGGGUAGCUUUGUUAUUGGGGCAGGGAGGUACAGCAAUCCUCGGUCCUUUAUGGCCUCGUACACCUCAUCCAGGGACAUCUUCAAUGAAGUAUACCGCCCGUAGUCCUGGUUCUGGUCGAUCAGGUGUACUGCCCUUUCUCUAUUUGCUCCGUUUUGAGUUGGGGGUAGUGGCAGCACUUCUGGUCUGCUCCCUCUACUGCCGUGGGAGUGUUGAUGAAGACCACCAUAUGUCGAAUCAUGCCUUCUCCAAGGCUCCCUAGCUGGGGAACGAGGAGGCUGCGCCCUGCUGCGCUGAUAUUGUGGUGGCCUCUGAUGAGGCUGGUAAGCUGUUACCCGACCUCCUGCUCCACUACCUGAGGCCUGGUGGUCCCUCCUCCUGAUCGGCCCAUUCCCUGGUGGUGCCCUCUUCUCUUUCUUUUCUAACCCCUCUAGCUGGUCAGUCUUAAUCUGAGCCGUCUUUUCUUCCUCGAUCUCUAUGUCUCUUUUAGCUUGCUCGUAUGCGACCGCAUAUGACUGAAUAACUGGGCUUCUCAAGUUGUACCACAACCUUCCUAUCUUCAUUCCCUCUUUCAAUCCCCUUAGUGCCUGAGGAUGGUUGAAGGCUCCCAAAUCGAGGACAGCACGAUGAAACCUCUUGAUGAAUUCCCGAAGGGUUUCUUGCUCCUCCUAUUUCAUGUUUUUCAGCUCCAUCAUGUCAUCUUCUGGUGCCAUCGCCCCACUAAACUGCUCUGCGAAUUCCUAGCACAUCUGCUCGAAGGUUUUAAUGCUGCCCCGAGGGAGUUUCCUGUACCACUCUCGUGCACGUCCCUCAAGGGAUAGUGGGAACACCCUGCACCUUUGGGAUUGAGAUAAUCCUUGUACCCCAGUUAUGUCGUUGAAGCGCUCUAUGUGCACCAGCGGAUCAGUUCUUCCCGCGUAUCUAAGGUCUGGGAGGCGGAAAUCCCUUGGAAUAAUUGCCCUCAUGAUCUCUGCUGCGAGCGGUGAUUCUCCGUCCAGCAUUAUCCUCCAACCAGGAGCUCUGCUCCUUCUUUGCAUGUCGUCAAUUAUCUGCGCUAGUCUGCGCACUUCCUCCUCCAGCUGCACUGCACGACCAGGGUCACGUGCGGCAACUUGAUCCCGCUCUUGCUCUACAUCAUGCAAGUGUUGCCUCAACUCCGUUUCCUCUGUAUUCGCCACCCCGUCGUCCUCGUCAAAAAUCUGUCUUGUUGGGGACUGCUCUUCCUCUCUAUGAAAUUCUCCCCGCAGAGGUAUGUUAUCUCUCUCACCACCAAAUCUCCCGGUGGUUUGACUUCUCCUCGCACUAUCAGGACCUGGUGCCACUCCACCACCUCUCACCCUUUCCUCCUGGGUUACCCUGCGUUCGCUCCGCAGCUCAUGCAGGAUGGUUGUCAGGGUCUCCAUCUGCUUUUCCAUCCGUUCCAUCCGGUCGAACAUGGCUUUUUCCCGUGCUUCACUGGCUAUCUCCCUCAGCGUCACGGAAUCGUUAAGCCUCAAAUCACCCCCUUGUGCACUACUUCCUCAUGUCUCCAUUGCUUUUCACUUGCUUCACUCCUCUUUUUGCUAUCAACAGAAGCUUUUUGCUCAGCUCCCCACAGACGGCGCCAAAAUGUUGAUGCGAGAUUCUGGUUACACUCUGCCUACGACCAGGAAAUCUGGUUGACCAACCUCACCUCGAUCAGGAUCUCUCCUCGUACGCUUUCUUCUCCAGGUGUUCAUGCGUCCACAGAAACAAGUCAGAGCACGCCGGUUGUUUUUCCGGCGUAAACCCUCCGACGCUCAAGUCAGAUAUGAAGGUCCCGGGAACGCUUGCCACGAAUCUUAUGGCUUUUCUGUAAUCUUCGUUCUUUAGAGUUUUCUUUUCUUAGUUCUAAAUAGCAAAAAUUCUAACCCUUUUACCUUCGUUGGCUACCUUUUUAUAGGCUUCCUCUGAAUCCCGGUCUUCCGUAGUCCACGCCCAUUAUUCUGCCCACCCUCGGAUGUGGAUGCCCCAACGUCGUCAUUGUGGGCGAAUGGAGAUGGACUUCAUGCCUUGAUUCUCGGAUAGGAACGCACGUCCUGCUAACUGUCGUUGACUGGGUCUCCUCGCCUCGACCCCUAGCAGGAAUGGCCUUAUGCCUUUAACAGGAGUUCGUCCUCGUGGAUGAGCAGAAUAGCCCUGCUCCUGUUCCCCUGCUACCAGGCUCUUACAGGACACACCUGCUCGCAGGACUCUGCCACCAACUAUUUGCUCGUCACUUCUGGUCUCGCCGAAGUAUUUCCCUCAAACAGUAAUUAUGAAAUCAGAGCAACACCAGCACUAUAUUAAAUCCUUGUUUCAACUCCAUAAAACCUAAGACAUCAAUUCUUUUACAACAAGAAUUGACAAUUUGUGGAUAUAGAAAGAUAUCAACCGAACCACUAGGAUGGUCUUAACAUUAGAAUAAAACAUUUAAGCUCAAAUCACUAUUAUUGUCAACCUAAUCAUUUGUCGCUCGAGUAAUUCUAUUCUUGUGUCCUAAUUUGAGCACAAAAAUUGAGAUUAAUUAAAUUAAAUUUAAAUUUGAAAUUAUUAAAUAAUGACACGUCAUUUUUUUAAAUAUAAAUGCAUUGUAUUUUUUAGGUAGACUUGAAAUCACAUCGAACGAAUUAGAUUAUUUAUGUAAACUUUACCUCCAGUAAAUAAUUUAGAACAACGGUGACAAUUUGGGUUAGAAUUCGUUUAUUCGAUUUGAUUCAAUGCAAAUUAAAUGGGUUUGCGUUUGAAAAAAAAUUAUUUGUUUUAUAAAUGGAUGAAUUCAAUUCGAUUUGCUAAUUAAACAAAUCAAAUUUGAGUUUGAGGAUAUUGAUUCAUUUAUUCGUUUAGGAUUCAUUUAAUAAAUAGGUCAUAAACAAGUUGAAUAUGAACCAUUCAUUUAAAGUUAGUUUAAUUAAAUUAUUUAUUUAUACUUAAAUAUGUAUGAAAAAAUUUUAAACUUUGAAGUUUAAUAUAGCAGUCAUAAUGUUUUGUAGGAUGUUAAAUUUACAAUCUUUUUAUAUUUUAUUUUGCUUAUUUUUUGUUCAUUAUAAAUAAAUUGUAAAUGGAUCGAGAUUUGAUUUGAUUCGUUUAUUAAUUUUACUAAACGAAUUUUACGAAUCAAAUCGAAUAUUCAUUUAAUAAACGAAUCGAAUCCAAAUCAACAUAAUUUUAAAUCAAUUUAUUUAUGGUUCGAUUCAAAUACGAUUCAUUUAUUCAUUCUGCUAUCCCUAAUUUAGAACAUAUUUUUAGCGAAAUAGUAUAAUAACGAUGGACUCCCUAAUCUUUCAUGAUUUCACAAGUAAGGACAUAACUAUCUAUUUGUCUCAAAUAUGCGCAUUACCCAUACAGAAAUAUAAUUGAACUUGCUCUUUGUGUUCGUGACAUAUAAUAUAAUUCUUUGCUUCAUUCCCACGGAUACCUUUUCUUUCGUGAUUAUUAGCUUCACAAUGCACUUUGUUUGGAUUCUAUCCUUUUUUUUUUAAUUCAAGAUUAGCCUUCCCUUCAACAAAAUUUUCAUAGAGAAUUUACAUUUUGGUACUACACUUAUUUAUUGCUCUCAUCUGACAAGUCUUGAGUUUUUCUAAUUAAGCAAAUGUGUUUGAUUUGUGAAGUAUCAUAAUAAAAGUACGAUGAACAAAAUUAACAACAUUCAUUUACUUGUUGAAUAUUUAAUAAUAAUGAUCGCGGACUACUCUCUUAAAGUAAUAUUAUUAGCGGCCCUCUAAAAAUCUCUUAAAACCUUUUAUUUUUUUCACUAUACUUACAUACUUUAAAAUAAUAUAAAUAUCUAAUAACACCUCUUUUAAUGAUAAAAAUAACCUUAAAUACAAUAACUUCUGAUGAAACCCAAAAUUUCAAUUCUUCCUUGUUCAAACCCAAUAUUUAGAUUCAGUUUCCUAUUUUUCAAAUCCACAAUUGAAAUAUUGUUCCUUGGGUUGUGGAAUUUAUUUAAUGCUAGCCGUUGAGUCUGGUCUUCUCCCAUUGUUAAAUUCAAAUUAUGAUUUUCAAUUCCCAAUUAUUUUCAGCACAUAAGCAGAUCAUUCAAAAAUCUGUUUGUCGAGUAUGCCAUUAGUCGUUCUUAGCAUUAAUUACAUUGAUGACUGGACGUAGGCCAUAGCCUCUAUUCCAUAUUUGAUCUAGAAAAAGAAUCAUAAGGCUUUCAAUUAUUUUUUUUUUUUUUGGUUUAAAAAUUUUUAAAAAGGUUAGUUCAAGAGAAAAAAAGAAAAGAAAAGAAAAGAGGUUUUUUUUUUAAAUAAUAGAAGUGUUAAAAAAAAUAAAAAAUUUUAAAUAACAUAUAACACAUAUAUAUGACAUGUGGGUGCAUAUAGUUUUUCAAAAAAGAAAAUUAGUGGUGUUUAAAUGUAGGUUUAAUUAUGUAUAUGUUUUGUCUUUUAAUAUAAUUCAGUGAAGAUUAAAGAUGUAGAUCAUUAAAAAGGAUUAUCAAAGAAUUUUAUAAUGGUGCAAAUAGUUCAGCUCUUCAUCUAAAUAUUGAUUCGUGGGUUGAUUUUUUAAACCCGCAAACUCAGGUAAUGUGAGAUUAAUUAAUUGAAUGGUAGAAGUGAGUAAUAAAUUAUAAAAUUUAUUGAUUUUUACGUGACCUAGACGCAUAAAUUAUACAAAAAGGUAAUUGGACUGGAACAAGUUAUUCCUAACAUUACAUGCAGGUAGGGUAUCAAUAUAAUUAAUUCUUUGCUUCAUUCUCAUGUAUACCUUUUCUUCACCGAAUAAUUCUUGGCUGACAUUACAACACACUUGGUUUGGACUCAAUCCCAGAAUGAAAGAUUAGCCUUUCCUUCUACAAAACUGUGACAGAGAUUAGAGAAUUUGCAUUCUGGUUUUACGCAAUUCUCUGCAGUUCUCAUCUUUUAAUUUGUCUUUUCAAUUCACUCAAGAAAACUUCGACAAGGAAUUGGCCAACCCUGCCCAUUUAUUCAGGCAAGUGAAAUAAUUUUGGUGGAAUUAAUAAAUGCUCUCUCCUCUCAUUGUCUUAAUUAAUUUCUUAACAACGUUAUCUACACAAUCUCUUUGUCAGAGUCAUUGUUCAAGAAGCCUAAAACAUGAAGGCCGUUUGGAUUGCCUGCCUUUAAAGUAGAAUUAGAAAGCAGCACCAGGUACCUUUUUUUAUUAUUGUUAUUAUUGUUAUUAUUGUUAUUAUUUAUUUUCAUGAUAGUUUUUGGACUGAACGUUUGUACAAUGUUGAAAGCAUGACACUCUAUUAUAUACAUUAGCAUUCUAUCUUGGAAACAAUUUAUUUAAGCCAACCUUCUUUAUAAGUUUUUUCUUUAUAUCUUAUUGCACGUUAAGGGCAUGUUUUAUAGGAUUACAGAUCCGUUUUGAUACUAUAGUUAGAUAGUUGUAAUUUUUAAACACCAACUCUAAAAUAUUGACAAACACUUGUAUAUCUAUAACUUAAAAGCUGAGGUGAUUAUCUCUCAUUAUACAUGAUAAAAUAUUUAUAUUGUCCCAAAACGUUAUCAAAAAUAUAAUUACACCACCCAUUUUUUAAUAUUUAAUAAAUAAAUAAAUAAAUUUUAUUUCCACCUUAAAAAAAACUAAUGGUGGUCAUAGUCAUCCAAAAUUGCUAAAAAAACAAAACAAAAUAAAUGUUAAUGUAUAUAAUAGAGCAAUUAUUGUCCAAAGCCGUGGCUUCACAUUGACCUGUCGUUUAAUGCGGUGAGUCAUAGUGCAACACCACCUUCACACACUAAAGCGUGUAACACACUUUCAGAUGCUGAUGGUGGUAUGAUGCCCUACCCCUAAAAGGCCACUCACAGCGAAAUCGCAGCUUUGGGUGGUGAUUUCACCGUCUCUAAGGACUUUUUAAGUCCGGUAAUUGCGCUGUUAAGCAGCUAGCAAAAAAGGAAGUCCAAUAGUACCUAAUUUUAAGGGUGGGCGGGUUGAAUUGGUUGGGUAGAAUAUUAACCUAAUUCAAUCCGCAUAUAGAACAUGUUAAAAAAAUUCAAUCCCCAGAACUACGGGUUGGGUUGAUUGGGUUGGGUUUUUGUAAACAUCUAUUUUUUUUAAUCUAAACAAAAAUAAAUUAAUUAAUUAAAAAAAUUAAAAAACACAAAUAUUAAAAUCCUUACAACAAAUCCAACAUUUCAAAACUCAACAAUCAAAUUAUUCGUACAUAAUUAAUGGAAAAAAAAACAAGUCCAUUAUUUAAAAUUCUUAUUUAAUACAGAACACUAAAUAUCAAAAUUUAUAUAAUAACACACACACACGCACACACACAUAAAUGAGUUGACGGGUUGGGUUGGAUUAAAAUUUUCAACUCAACCUACAAAAAAUCAUAUGAGUUGGGUCGGUUUCACGGGUUAGACGAGUUGAUGUCCACCCCUACCUAAUUUAUUGCACGACUUAGAAGUUUGCUAGUGACAAAUAUAUUUUCAAUAUACAUUAUAAUUACCGAAUAGUUGAUUUAAUAUAAUUUAAGAAAUUAAAUAAUAACUAUUUACGUAAUAGUAUAUUUGAUUUAGUAAUUAUAUAAUUUAUUAAGUUUUAAACUUUAUUUUGGGUGGGGAUAUUUCCACCAUAUUAUUGUAGUAAAUCCACCCCACUUCUAAAAAAUAAUUACAGUGAGUUCACAAUAUUUUUAAAAAAUACAAAUUAAUAAAAGUAUUGUACAGUCUAUCAAUUAAAUCAUUCUAUUAAUUUUUUUCUUAGGUUUCUUUGAUCAUAUUUGAUUAUAAACCUUAAUUUAAGUUUUAUUUUGCUAUUUUAUUAUUAUGAUAUAAAAUGACCACAUUGCCUCAAUAAACAUGACUUAUUGUAUCUAAUAAUUUAGGUAUUUAAUUUUCUGACUUAUAAUCUAAUAUUUUUAAAUAAAAUUUAAUUAUUAUUUUCACUAUCCUUACAUGUAAACAGCAUAAAUUUGACAGCCCAAUAAUUUACAUGAAUAUUGUGCCAUAAAGACCAUAUGGUAGUGUAAUUAAAGUUUAAUAAUCAUACUAAUAAAGUAGUAUUAAUUAGAAAAAAUGAGUUUAGUAUAAAAUUAGAAAACUAUUGAAGUUAAAGUAAAUUCUUGGUGGUUUUACCUUAUAAGAAUAAAAUAGUAAAAAAUUUAUGCCCAAAAAACUUUUGUAAUCAAAUAUAAUAAGAAAUUGAAGUCAUAAAAAGAGAGAUUUAAUAAAUUAAUUCUCUAAAAUUCUUCUUCAUUUGAAAUUUCUUGAAAAUAUUAAGGAUUUUUUGUAAUUAUUUUUUGAAACGAGGUGGAUUUAUAAAAACUAUGGGGUGAAGAUGUCAUCACCCUUUCAUUUUAGGAUUAAUUGCGCCCUGCUCUCAAGCCUUCCAAAAUUUUCUAUUUUGCCCACAAUUGUUUCAACUUCUUCUACCGCACACCUACAACCGUUGGUUUCGUUGUUAUCUUUGACGUUUAAAGUGUAAAAUGUGAAAAUUCAAUUAUAAAAAUUAAUAAACCCGAUAUAUUUCUUUUUUUUUUCCCUUUAGGGUGGAAUUAACCCUUUACUUUAAUACAAAUUUUUAUGAAAACUAUAACUAAUGUAUUUACCAAAUACCUACUAGCUUUUAUUUCAUAGCUGCAACUUCUAUCUCAAUAAAGAUAUUAUAUAACUUUUAAUUCAAUGCCAAGCAAAGUGUAUAUUGAGUAUUCUCUUGUCUUUUGUUUGGCGAGCAUAAGAUCGGACUAGAUUACAAAAUUUAUUAGUUGUAACAAUAAUAAUAAAUAAUCAUUAUUAAGAAUAUUUAACUAUUACUUUUUUUCACUAUUGAAAAUAAUUAUACUUUUUAUCAUAAAUUUCAAUUACAUUGCUAUUUUAUUCAAUAAUUAUUAAACUAAUUUAUUAAUAAGAAAGGGAAAUAUUUUUAUUGAGUAAAUUUUAAAAAGUCUCUUUUAAAUAUUUGAGUUAUCCUAAGUUAUUUAUAUCUUGGGAAACCAUGGGAUAAAUUUUUCUCUCAAUAGGAGACGGGCAAAUAUCCACCAACGACUCGAUGUUUAGCAUUUUAUCAAAACUACACCAAUUUUUUUCUUUUACAACUAUCCAAUAGAAUUUUAUAAAGUGUAUGACUUUUUUACUUCAUUAAUUCCAUUAGAAGAUUUAACAAAAUAUUAACAAAAUGACUAUUUUCCUCCUAAUCAUAAAAAGUCUAUUUAAUGCUAGCUAAAUAACAAAAAAUGGAUUUCAUUUUGUAGUUGUUAGACCAAUAACCCUACGAAUUUAAUUAGCUAUAUAAACUCAUGAAACCUAUUAAUUUGUAUAUAUAAAAUCACCUAAGUAACUAGCCUAGCUAAUUUGUAACUCAUUUGCAACAUAAAUUAAGAACCACUUCUCAUAUGAUCUAUCCUGAGUAACAUAUCUUUGACAAUAAUAACAAAGCUUAACCAAUAAUAAAUCACUAAUAGAAAAAUUAUAGUUAUCCAAAAUACAUUCAAAAUAACAAAAAAGCAAUGGUGAGAAACUUUGAACAUUACAUUGUGUUCCCUAUCAAUAAAAAAUUGCAACGUAAAAUAAAUUAUGGGAGAACUUAGAGUUUGCAUUUUGUUCUCAUCAAUCCAAAAUAACAAUACAUUUCAAAAGCAUCUAAAAUAACGAUCGAUAAAUAGUGUUUUUAUAUUUAAUAGCAAAAUGAUCAUUUUAUAAUUUUUCUGUUAAAUUCUCUAUAGAUGCUAAUAGAAAAGUUAAGUGUGAUACACUUCGUAAAUUUAAAAUGGAAAGUUGCAAAAGAAAAAAAUUUUGAGGUAUUUUUGAUGAAGUUUGAAACAUAAAGAUGUACGUGAUAUUUGCCCAUAAGGUAUUAAACGGAGAAUCCUUCAAAAUAUAUGAUUAGAUAAAAGAUAAUCCAAUUAAAUGUUCUUAUCCUGUAACCAAACACGCUAUAAACGCAAGAACACGCAAAUUGGUUCAUAUUGGAGUAAUUAUUUAUCCUUUAAAAAAGUGAAGUUCUUUGUUUUGAUUUUAAAGAUGUCUGAAACAAUGUGAAUGUGUUAGGAAUUCUUACCAUUUAAAAGUUUUCACAGCAGAUAGAAUAACAAUCUCAUGCUCAAAUCUAUCUAUAUAAUACAGGGAAAUGGAGCCAGGGGCAGUCAUUGAAAUCAUAAACUUUGUAGGACCUCCAAUUUGUAAAUACUGGAACUAUCACAGAAACCUUAAGAUAUUUUUGGAUACUCUUAGAAGCAAGAAGGAAGAUCUGAAUUGCCGCAAGGAAGAUGUGGAGUUAAGAUUGAGUGCAGAGUGUCAUUCUGGAAAGACACCAAAGAAAGAAGUCGAAAAAUGGUUAAAGAAAGCAGAGAAAGUGAGUAAUGAGGCACAGAGUCUAGAAGAUAAAGCCGGUAAAUGCAGAUAUGUAUCUCGUGCUUGUCUGGGGAAACUUAUUGACGAGAAGAGCAAGGAACUAAUUGAAGUUUAUGAUCAAGGUAGUUUUCCUACUAGUUUGGUAAUUGAUCCUCCUUCAAAUGUUGGGUCAAAUGUUGGGCAGCUGAUACCAACGCAAGAACUGGUCGGUGAAGCUACUGUCAAAGAAAAAGUUCGGGGACACUUGAUGGGUAGCACAGUAUGCAAGAUUGGAGUUUGUGGGAUGGGCGGGAUAGGAAAGACAACGAUCAUGAAGCAUGUCCACAACGAGCUCUUGAAGGAAACCAAGUUUGAUACAGUAAUUUGGGUGACUGUGUCCCAAGAAUUUGAUGUCAAGGAGAUACAGGAAGACAUUGCAUCUGCCUUGAAAAAAAGUCUAUCAGCUACGGAUAAAAUCAUGCGGGCGGCACAGUUGUCAAAAAUGUUGAAAGAAAGAAAGAGGUAUGCAUUGAUUUUAGAUGAUGUGUGGGAGAUGUUUUCCCUCGAUGAGGUUGGAAUCCCUGAGCCAACUGUAGACAAUGGGUGCAAAUUAGUUUUAACAACACGUUCAAAAGAAGUGGCUCGAUCUAUGGGUUGUGAGGAGAUCCCAGUUGAUUUGCUUUCAGAAGACGAGGCAUUGCGUUUGUUCUCGAAGCAUGUUGGAGAUCGCCUUUUGCACAUUCCGACUAUAGAACCAAUUUUGAAACAAGUGCUGGAGCAGUGUGCUGGUCUGCCUCUCGCAAUUGUUACAGUAGCUAGCAGUAUGAGGGAUGUGAAAGAUGUUGACUUGUGGAAGAAUGCAUUAAACGAAUUAAAAAAGCACUCAAGCAGUGUUGAGGGUAUCCGAGAUAAGGUAAUUCCAAGAUUGAAGUUUAGUUAUGAUCGUUUGAUGGAUUCGAAAAUAAAGCAUUGCUUUUUAUAUUGCGCAUUGUAUCCUGAAGACUUCGAUAUUCCUAAAGAGGAGCUCAUAGAAUAUUGGAUUGUCGAGGGGCUCAUAGAUGUAAUGGAGACUAGACAAGCAAUGCAUUACAAGGGUCUUGCAAUUUUACAUAAGCUAAAAGAGAAUUGUUUGUUAGAAAGUGCCGAAGAUGGGAAAUGUGUAAAGAUGCAUGAUCUUGUAAGAGAGAUGGCAUUGGAUAUUACUACUGGGAGUCCUCGGUAUUUAGUAGAAGCUGGAAAAUUCGGAGCGCUACUUCUUGAGGAAGAAUGGAAAGAUGAUGUCGAGAAGGUUUCUUUAAUGCGGUGCCGUAUAACAAGAAUUCCCUCCAACUUCCCAUCUUCAGGGUGUAGAUCACUCUCAACGUUGUUGUUGCAGCAUAAUUACAUAGAAGAGAUUCCUGAAUCCUUCUUUGAACACUUGACUGGGCUAAAGAUUCUCGAUCUGUCUGGAAAUAGUAAUCUUCUGCGUCUGCCAGAUUCCAUAUCCGGUUUAAUAAACCUCACAGCAUUGAUGGUUCAUGGUUGCUUUAGGCUAAGGCAUGUGCCUUCUUUGGCCAAACUUAGCGCUUUAAAGAAGUUGGAUCUUGGAGGCACGGAAAUUGACGUCGUUCCUCAAGGAUUGGAAAUGUUGGCACAUCUCACGUACCUUGAUUUGAAUUGGACACGAAUUCUACAAAUUCCUGAUGGUAUGUUAUCGAAUCUCUCCCGUAUUCAGCACUUGCGGUUGGAUCGCGUUGCCUUUGAAAACGCAGAAGACAUUUUGAGAUUGAUGAAAUUGGAAAUUUUUGGAGUGCGAUUCGAUCAUCUGCAAGACUAUCAUCGGUACUUAUCUCUGCAAUCCCGAAGAAGACUCAGCAAGUAUUAUUUUACUGUGGAGAAGAACGCUUAUACAUAUGCACGCGGGGAGUGGGAUAAAUAUGUUUCACUUGUUGAGUUACGUAUUUGUGAAAAUUCUGUUGUGCUCCCUCGUGACAUUCAGCAAUUGCAUUUUAAUGCGUGUGGUGGUAUGAGAAGCUUAAGGGAUGUUCCUUCUUUGAAAGAUACAACUGACUUGAGGGAAUGCGUGAUUUACAGGUGCUACGAGAUGGAGUUUGUGUUUUGUUUGUCCUCCUGUUACGGCAUCCUCGAGACCCUUGAGUACUUGUUGCUUCAACGGUUGGUCGACUUGAAGGCCAUUUUUCAAAUUGCAGAAGACGAAGUUAAUGCUUCCUCACUACGAACACAAACACCAUCACCGCCAAACAUUGUUUUUUGUCUCAAGAGGUUAAUCAUGUCUGAUUGUGGUAAAAUACGAAAGCUGUUCUCGCCUGAGUUGCUACCAUCGCUCCAAAACUUGGAAGAGAUUCAAGUUACGUAUUGUGGAGGACUUGAGGAAAUAAUAGCCGCGUCAGAUGAUGAUGAAGAAGGAGAAAACAAUGAAGCAGCAGGAAAUAAUUCCAUCAAAUCAUUGGCUCUUCCCAAAUUAAGAGUUCUCUCUUUGAAAGAACUACCAAAUUUAAUGAGCAUUUGUAGCCGUCGUUCGACAUUAGUUUGUAAUUCUCUGGAAACCAUUGUUGUGUUGCGAUGUCCAGAGAUAAAGAGGUUGCCUGUCUUGCUUCCCCAUCUUGUAAAUGGCCAACCAUUAAAUCCCCGCUCUCUUAGGAUCGACAUUGACAAAGAUUGCUGGGAUGCACUGGAGUGGGAUGAUCCCAACACUAAAAGCCUCCUCGCACUCGUCCGUGGAUACUGGUGGAGUUAAGAGUACCUCUGUAAGUUCUUCAAUACUUCACUCCAUUCGUUUAAGAAAUCUUUUUCUUUUUUAUUUCUGUCAUCAUCUUCAAUUCUUCCCUUUUUAUGUUAAAAACAAAAAUAAAUAAAUAGAUAAAUAAAUAAAUAAAUAAAUAAAGCAAAGCUUAUUGGAAUCUUGUUUCUUAUGAUCAGCGAAACGUCACGAGGCCAAAGCAAUUUGCAAAUGCUAGUUCUUCGAAGGAACGACUGUGCAGAAGCAAAUGAAAUGAAUCGAGGUAUGAUUUCUAAAGUGAAGUUUGCUUUAGGGAAGUGGUUUGAUUUAUGAUGAUUUGUACAGAACUCUUAAGCAAGCUAAUUGCUUUCUGUUUCAUAUUUCUCACAAUGAAGAUGCAUUGUAAUUCGUUAAUUAUCGAGUUAUUGUGUAAUAAUAAUACAUGCAAACUUCCUCUCAUAUUACUAGGAAGCUUGUAUAAUAUUUUCAGCUGCCUGUCACACUCUCCUUCAUGUAAAUAUAUGGUUUUCAUGACAUCCAUUUUCUAUUUUGCCGUAAAUUGUGCUUUCUUUGGCAAAACUGGGGGCUUUAAAGAUUUUAGUUCUUGAUGGCAUACGAACUAUGAGACGUUCCUACAGGAAUAGAAAGGUCGACUAAAAAGCUGUUUAUUCUUUAAAAAUGCAACUCUCAUUUGGGAAUACAGCAAAAAGUCAGGAAAGGAGAUGAAGAUAAUCCGCAAAUCAACUCUCAUUUGGCAAUACAAGGCGAUCUUGACCUUCGAUAAGCUUCGCAGAUUGAAUGACAUCCCCAGUUUUGAUCUGUGGCAGAAUGUCUCUCCCCACCGUUGUGUACCUGCAAAUUAGAAGAAAAGUAUAAUCAGUUCAAGCACCAAACGGUCUCUAGCUUGCUUACAGCCGCUAGCCAAGAUAAAAAAGAAAAUAACAUGAUAGAGGUUUAAUAAUUUACCCAAAAACGGAAAAUUGCCCUUCAUCGAAAGAUAACCCCCCUAGGCCAGCCUACAGAACAAGUACAUGUGAGAAUAUAUCAGUCUAGAUAAAUCAAAAGCAAAGUAGAGACCAUACGGAAAAGGAAUAGGGACAUGUUGAACAAAAGCCUGUUAUGUCUCGGUUCUAAUGAUGUGAUGUAAUUUGCUCACAUUUCUUUUGUCAUAAAGGUAGAAGAAAAACUGAUACGGGGCAGAGUAUUCCUCUGAGUCUUCACUAUGUGCCAUUGCAACAGCUCCAUAUACUGAUAAAGGAAGAACCGGCAAUUCUCCAUCCUUCCAAGUGAAAAUUAAAGAAUGAAGACGUAAGAUAACGUUUUUUUUUUUUAAUUUUAAGAAGUAAGAUAACGUAUUGUUAAGUGCAUCAAAACAUGCAAUGUUACGGAUUGUUAACUGCAUCAAAACAUGCAAUGUUUACCUGCACGUUUAAGGCUGUCCUGUACAAUGGCUCAAAUUGCCCUGAUGGCAUUAUUUCCAAGGGCAAAUUGUAAUCACUGCCCUUAUCUAGACCUUUUUCUGUCAGAACAGCUUGGUUCGUACAAUUUAGCCUUGUCCCAUCAUAUGCUCCAUCAAUCACCUGAAAGUUUAUUGAAUGGUUUAAUGUAUUUUAUCAGGAGAGUACACGUACUCCUGUAAUUCUAAGUUUUCCAUACAAGGAAAAGAAUGUUUAUUGAGUCUUUAGAUUUGUUUAAAAACCACUGCAGUCAUCAAACCUGAAAGUAGACAGUGAAAAAUAACAGGAAAAAUCCAGAUUAUAUGAUGACUGUACAAAGUACAUCACAAGGCUGAGGUGAGAUUCAACUACCUUACCAGCUUUGCGACAUUCCCAGCUGUUAAUGGUGCUGAAUAUCCAUCUAGAACAACCUGAAUCAAUUAACAGUAAAUUACUAGCAGAAAACACAAUAACACACUAAGAAGAAUAGAAGCAAUGUAAUAGCUCAUUUUGAUGAAAGGAAAUUCAUAAGUUUGCAGAAAUUAAUAAACCUAAGACUUCUAGAAAAUUAACAAGAACUAAUGCAUGCAGCUUACCAUAGUUAUCCUUUUCUAAAAAUGAAAAAUAAAAAAGGAAAACACAUAAUGAUGCUUAAUUAAGUUAAAUUCAUCUACCUGAAUUGUGGCAGUUUUCCUUGGUUCACCACCAGCUUCGGGAGAAAAUGAUGAACCAUCUCCCUUCUCAAUGGUAAGUUCGACAAUUCCUCUCCCUGGUAACCUAAAAAUAAAAGAGUACCACAUUCUAAUUCAGAAUCAUACAAUACCAAUAAAAAUACUUGCGUUUCUACAACAAGAUUUGACUCAUUGUGGAUAUGGAAAUAGAAACAACCAUAAGGACAGACACUAGAAUAACUUGUUUGAGUAACAUCACUUUCUAUGAUACCCAUAUAACCACCGUCACUAAAAUAGAGAAUUAGAAGUUAUAAGACAAUCAACAGAAAAUACUGACCUCGGAUAUUUCUUGUAUUGCUCUGGCAACAAAAAGGAUAACCCAGGAGCCUGUUGCAAACAAUAAUAUUAACUUGAGAUUUUUACACGUUCUCAUAUGAUCCAAGUUGCAUAACUAUCAAUUUAAAAUUACUGGAAACUGAAGAAAGUCAAGUCAUUUGUCGAAUAGAUAUGCGGAUCAUAGAAGGAUCAUCUAAAAUUACAAAGGAACCGCAAAACCUGUAGCAACUCCAGUUCUGCAACUGUAUCCAGUGAAGAUGCAAGGCCAACAGAUACUUUAUCUGGGUCCUGAUCCUUGAUACACUUUAGAAGUGCUUGCAGUCCACCCUACAGAAAAGAAAACUAUAAUAUCAUUUAAGUGUGUUCAGCAAUGGACCAUGCAAGCAGAUUUUGUAAUCAAUUACAUGAGCAUUUUAUAGAUAAAUUAUUCCUUUGAAGACUGCUGUCGUGUAAACAAAAUAACUGUAGCUUAUAAAACAUAAAGAGCUUUCUUUACAUUUUCGGUUUCUUGAAAGCAUGUAAUUCUGCAGACAUGUAAUUGUGGCUCUUUGUAGACAUGUAAACAAGUGGGAGAAAUUAAAAUGCUUAUAGCACUUCAUAGGUCAUUAUACAUUGUAAAUGUUCUUAAUCAACCCAACAUUGGACGUAGUAGUUAGUCAAUAUGAGUGAAAGAUAUACAAAGAUUCUAAGUGUUUUCUCACAUUAAAUUAACCUGUACUUCUUAUUUCCAAGUAAAUUCUUAUACCUUCCCGUCAAUGAGAGAUGCAUACAGUGUAGAACCCUUUUCCUUUAGAUCCGCUGGAAUACUUGACAGUAUAGAGUCCUUUUCGUCCAUUGCUAUCUAAAGUCAGGAAAGAAAAACAAUAAUGCAAAUUUCCGGAAACUGAAUCAUAAUAGAUGACUUGGAUAACGAGAGAAGAAAAGAAGUUAAUGGCUGAAGGUUUACAAAGUGAAAUAAGUCUCUGUUAGUUGAUUUUUUUAACACUCGCUGGGCUGCAAAAUAUAUAUUAAGACUACUCGUAGAUAGAAGGUUAUUCUCAUUCUUAAUACAUUGUUUCUUAAGAAAAGAGAGAGAGAGAGAGAGAGAGAGAGGGAGAAAAUUGGACAAAUAAUACCUUUAGUGCUUUCUUCACAUUACCCUCCAUGGUUCCGUAAGGUUUUCUCUGUGGAAUCCUUAGCAAAAAUGAUAUAUCCUCCAAAGAAGCCUUAAAAGAAAAAGCUACUGAUUACAAAGUAAGUUAGAGAAAUGGAAAAAAAUUAUGUUACUAGUACCACCUGUAUUGCCUUCAUGUUUGCAUUUGCAGGGAUAGCCCUUCUCAAAGCAAGUUCUCCAGUUCUUGGGACCUUUGUGUCAGGAGAAUAAAGCACUGCAUUUGCGGGGAAAACUGACCAAAAGUCCCAGCCAACCAAGCAUAGUGGAGUAGAAAUUUGGACAAAAAUAAGAAUUGUUGCAAUCAAAGUCUUUACUGUUUUCAUUCCAUGUUGAAAAGUUGAUAUGAAUAAUUUGGUAGGAAGAUCAUGCUGGUGCACUGGUUCCUGCAUAAUCGGAAAUCCAUUUAAAAGCAAGGAGGAGCUCAAUAGAGAAAUAUAGUUUCAUCUUUCUUCUGGUCCAAAAGUAUAGCUCUAAUCAUUCAGUAAGAAGAUAAGAACUGAAUCGGGCAAAUCAGAGCAGAUUUUAACUAUACUAGACACAAAAUUGGCUGCAACAGUAUAGGAUAGUUGUUAUGUUACUGAAACGUGACAUUAUAACAUUUGUAAUUUGCUAAACUUGGUUCCUGUGUUUAAGCAGUGGAAGGGGUUAUAAAUAAAGGGUAACUCGCUAUUCGAAAAAACUUAUAUUGAAUGAACAGAAUAGCCAUCACUAGAUGGAAAGGGACACAUCUGCUAGACAACUAUGGCACUUUACUAGUUCAAACAUGACACCAAUAGUAAUUCUGUAGCUAUUUCUACUAUCCCUUUAAGCACCCGGCCACAGACAGCUUUUGUGAUAAACCACACUCCAAAUCCCUUCCUAUUCAUCUCUAUGAUUACCUCCACCACCACCAUGACUGCCAUGCACACUGAUGAAGGUAGUAAAGGAGAAAGCAAUCUACAAGAAUCUUAAGAAGUAUAAGUAAAAGGAAUGGAUGGAUUACAAAUUCAAAUAGACUAACAUGCCUAUUCCAUGACAUAGGCCAGAUAUGACCUGUGGUCCUCAAUACAAACCCCAAUCUGGGGUCUCUAAUAUAGUUACCAGGCAACAUUACCAACUAGGCCAAAUUGACACCUUUUCCACCCACCAUUAGUUUGCAAUCAUCUGACCACUAUUUCAUAAAUUUAGUAUCUAAUGCAUAUAGUCAGAGAAAUAAAUAACAAAACCUACAGCAAUGCCUCAAGUCGAAUGAUCACAGUCAUUUUUAUGAGUAAGUAGCUCUCAACUAAUUAAUUUUUCGUCAAAAUGGGGUUUACAUAUAAACCAAAGAUACUUUAAUAAGUUUCACACCAUUCGAAAACAAACAAUAUGCAUUUCAAAAUUAAACUAAUCACCAUAUAACAUUUGUUCUAGAAAGCAAUUUUCCAUAAUUUCAUAAAGAAUUGCAUAGCAUUGAUUAAUAAGAAGAGCUCAGAUGGUGUAAUCACAAAUCUCCUAGACUCCUACAUUAACAUUAUCGCGCCCCCGAAAUUUUGAAACCAUUUACAACUAAAUACACGAAAUUAUCAAUUCCAC